rnacentral:rRNA from 1 species
AUUGAACGCUGGCGGCGUGCUUUACACAUGCAAGUCGAGCGGCAGCGCGACCUUCGGGUUGGCGGCGAGCGGCGAACGGGUGAGUAAUACAUCGGAACGUACCUUUUAGUGGGGGAUAACGCAUCGAAAGAUGUGCUAAUACCGCAUAAUCUCUGAGGAGGAAAGGCGGGGAUCACGCAAGUGACCUGUCGCUGAAAGAGCGGCCGAUGGUCGAUUAGCUAGUUGGCGGGGUAAAAGCCCACCAAGGCGAUGAUCGAUAGCGGGUCUGAGAGGACGAUCCGUCACACUGGGACUGAGACACGGCCCAGACUCCUACGGGAGGCAGCAGUGGGGAAUUUUGGACAAUGGGGGAAACCCUGAUCCAGCAACGCCGCGUGAAUGAAGAAGGCCUUAGGGUUGUAAAGUUCUUUUGUCAGGGAAGAAAGUUUCUGUGCUAAUACCAUAGAACGAUGACGGUACCUGAAGAAUAAGCACCGGCUAACUACGUGCCAGCAGCCGCGGUAAUACGUAGGGUGCAAGCGUUAAU